rnacentral:misc_RNA from 1 species
GAUGAAGAACGUAGCGAAAUGCGAUAAGUAGUGUGAAUUGCAGAAUUCAGUGAAUCAUCGAAUCUUUGAACGCACAUUGCGCCCUUUGGUAUUCCAAAGGGCAUGCCUGUUCGAGCGUCAUUUGUACCCUCAAGCUUUGCUUGGUGUUGGGCGUCUUGUCUCUAGCUUUGCUGGAGACUCGCCUUAAAGUAAUUGGCAGCCGGCCUACUGGUUUCGGAGCGCAGCACAAGUCGCACUCUCUAUCAGCAAAGGUCUAGCAUCCAUUAAGCCUUUUUUUCAACUUUUAACCUCGGAUCAGGUAGGGAUACCCGCUGAACUUAAGCAUAUCAAUAAGCGGAGGA